rnacentral:rRNA from 1 species
AUCCUGGCUCAGAACGAACGCUGGCGGCAUGGAUUAGGCAUGCAAGUCGAACGAUCUUAUUAGUGUAGCAAUACAUUGAUGAGGUAGUGGCGCAAGGGUGAGGAACACGUGAGUAAUCUGCCCUCAAGUUUGGAAUAACCUUUCGAAAGAGAGGCUAAUACUGGGAAUGUGGUUAAUAGAGUCCGCAUGGUUUUUAUAACCCAAAGGUUUACUGCUUGAGGAUGAGCUCGCGUCCCCAUUAUGCUAGUUGGUGAGGUAACGGCCCCACCAAGGCUAUGACGGGUAGGUGGUCUGAGAGGAUGGUCACCCACACUGGGACUGAGAACUGCCCAGACUCCUACGGGAGGCUGCAGUCGAGAAUCUUCCGCAAUGGGCGCAAGCCUGACGGAGCAAUGCCGCGUGCAGGAUGAAGGCCUUCGGGUCGUAAACUGCUGUCACGGGGGAUGAACGCAAUGACAGUACCCUGGGAGGAAGCCACGGCUAACUACGUGCCAGCAGCCGCGGUAAUACGUAGGUGGCGAGCGUUGUUCGGAUUUAUUGGGCGUAAAGGGUUCGUAGGAGGCAUGGUAAGUUCGAUGUGAAAUCCCGCGGCUCAACUGCGGAACUGCAUUGAAAACUGUUGUGCUUGAGUGUCAUAGAGGAGAGCGGAAUUCCUGGUGUAGCGGUGGAAUGCGUAGAUAUCAGGAAGAACACCGAUAGCGUAGGCAGCUCUCUGGGUGGCAACUGACUCUGAAGAACGAAGCGUGGGGAGCAAACAGGAUUAGAUACCCUGGUAGUCCACGCUGUAAACUUUUGUGUGCUUGGUGUGGGAGGAUUCAACCCCUUCCGGAUCGGAGCUAACGUGUUAAGCACACCGCCUGGGGACUACGGCCGCAAGGCUAAAACUCAAAUGAAUUGACGG